rnacentral:snRNA from 1 species
AGAAAUACCUGGCAGGGGAGAUACCGUGAUUAUGAAGUUAGUUUUCCAAGGGCAAGGCUUAUCCAUUGCACUCUCGAUGUGCAAUUUCUCCAAAUGUGGGAAACUCAACUGCAAAUUUGUGGUAGUGGGGGACUGCAUUCACAUUUUUCCUGG